rnacentral:rRNA from 1 species
UUGGACAAUGGGCGCAAGCCUGAUCCAGCCAUGCCGCGUGCAGGAUGACGGUCCUAUGGAUUGUAAACUGCUUUUGUACAGGAAGAAACCCUCUCACGUGUGAGAGAUUGACGGUACUGUAAGAAUAAGGAUCGGCUAACUCCGUGCCAGCAGCCGGCGGUAACG